rnacentral:rRNA from 1 species
GAUGAACGCUGGCGGCGUGCCUAAUACAUGCAAGUCGAGCGAAUGGAUUGAGAGCUUGCUCUUAUGAAGUUAGCGGCGGACGGGUGAGUAACACGUGGGUAACCUGCCCAUAAGACUGGGAUAACUCCGGGAAACCGGGGCUAACACCGGAUAACAUUUUGAACCGCAUGGUUCGAAAUUGAAAGGCGGCUUCGGCUGUCACUUAUGGAUGGACCCGCGUCGCAUUAGCUAGUUGGUGAGGUAACGGCUCACCAAGGCAACGAUGCGUAGCCGACCUGAGAGGGUGAUCGGCCACACUGGGACUGAGACACGGCCCAGACUCCUACGGGAGGCAGCAGUAGGGAAUCUUCCGCAAUGGACGAAAGUCUGACGGAGCAACGCCGCGUGAGUGAUGAAGGCUUUCGGGUCGUAAAACUCUGUUGUUAGGGAAGAACAAGUGCUAGUUGAAUAAGCUGGCACCUUGACGGUACCUAACCAGAAGGCCACGGCUAACUACGUGCCAGCAGCCGCCGUAA